CCUACGGGAGGCAGCAGUGGGGAAUAUUGGACAAUGGGGGGAACCCUGAUCCAGCCAUGCCGCGUGUGUGAAGAAGGCCCUCGGGUUGUAAAGCACUUUCAGUGAGGAAGAACGCCUGGUGGUUAAUACCCAUCAGGAAAGACAUCACUCACAGAAGAAGCACCGGCUAACUCCGUGCCAGCAGCCGCGGUAAUACGGAGGGUGCGAGCGUUAAUCGGAAUUACUGGGCGUAAAGCGCGCGUAGGUGGCUUGAUAAGCCGGUUGUGAAAGCCCCGGGCUCAACCUGGGAACGGCAUCCGGAACUGUCAAGCUAGAGUGCAGGAGAGGAAGGUAGAAUUCCCGGUGUAGCGGUGAAAUGCGUAGAGAUCGGGAGGAAUACCAGUGGCGAAGGCGGCCUUCUGGACUGACACUGACACUGAGGUGCGAAAGCGUGGGUAGCAAACAGGAUUAGAUACCCCUGUAGUC
rnacentral:rRNA from 1 species